UACGAAGGGGGCUAGCGUUGCUCGGAAUCACUGGGCGUAAAGGGUGCGUAGGCGGGUCUUUAAGUCAGGGGUGAAAUCUUGGAGCUCAACUCCAGAACUGCCUUUGAUACUGAGGAUCUUGAGUUCGGGAGAGGUGAGUGGAACUGCGAGUGUAGAGGUGAAAUUCGUAGAUAUUCGCAAGAACACCAGUGGCGAAGGCGGCUCACUGGCCCGAUACUGACGCUGAGGCACGAAAGCGUGGGGAGCAAACAGG
rnacentral:rRNA from 1 species